rnacentral:rRNA from 1 species
AGUGGCGAACGGGUGAGUAACGCGUGGGCAAUCUGCCCUUCAGAUGGGGACAACAUCCCGAAAGGGGUGCUAAUACCGAAUACGAUCGUUUUCCCGCAUGGGAUUGCGAUGAAAGAUGGCCUCUAUUUAUAAGCUAUCGCUGAAGGAUGAGCCUGCGUCUGAUUAGCUAGUUGGUGGGGUAACGGCCUACCAAGGCGAUGAUCAGUAGCCGGUCUGAGAGGAUGAACGGCCACAUUGGGACUGAGACACGGCCCAAACUCCUACGGGAGGCAGCAGUGGGGAAUAUUCCGCAAUGGACGAAAGUCUGGCGGAGCAACGCCGCGUGAGUGAUGAAGGUUUUCGGACUGUAAAGCUCUGUUGUUUAGGACGAAAGUGCCUGUUGCGAACAGUUACAGGUAUUGACGGUACUAAACGAGGAAGCCACGGCUAACUACGUGCCAGCAGCCGCGGUAAUACGUAGGUGGCAAGCGUUGUCCGGAAUUAUUGGGCGUAAAGAGCAUGUAGGCGGAGAUUUAAGUCUGUUGUGAAAAUGCGGGGCUCAACCCCGUAUUGCGAUGGAAACUGAAUUUCUUGAGUGCAGGAGAGGAAAGGGGAAUUCCCAGUGUAGCGGUGAAAUGCGUAGAUAUUGGGAGGAACACCAGUGGCGAAGGCGCCUUUCUGGACUGUGUCUGACGCUGAGAUGCGAAAGCCAGGGUAGCGAACGGGAUUAGAUACCCCGGUAGUCCUGGCCGUAAACGAUGGGUACUAGGUGUAGG